GGAUGGCGAGUUUGAUCCUGGCUCAGGAUAAACGCUGGCGGCGUGCCUAACACAUGCAAGUCGAACGAGUUCCCCUCCUUCGGGAAGGGAGCGAGUGGCGGACGGGUGAGUAAGACGUGGGUCACCUACCUUUCAGUGAGGGAUACCGGCGAGAAAUCGCCGACAAUCCCGCAUACGCUUCGCGUUCUGGAACGAGCGCCAAGCAAAGCUCUGCAAAGGGCGCUGGGAGAUGGGCCCGCGGCCGAUUAGCUGGUUGGUGGGGUAAGAGCUCACCAAGGCGACGAUCGGUAGCUGGUCUGAGAGGACGAUCAGCCACACUGGGAUUGAGAACGGCCCAGACUCCUACGGGGGGCAGCAGUGAGGAAUUUUCGGCAAUGGGGGCAAGAGCAAGGACGGUACCAGAGGAACAAGCCCCGGCUAACUACGUGCCAGCAGCCGCGGUAAUACGUAGGGGGCGAGCGUUGUCCGGAGUUACUGGGCGUAAAGCGCACGCAGGCGGUGCUGCGCGUUUGGGGUUACAGCUCCCGGCUCAACCGGGAGAGCGCCUCGAAGACGGCAGCACUUGAGGGCCAGAGAGGGACACGGAACUCCGGGUGGAGUGGUGAAAUGCGUAGAUAUCCGGAAGAACACCAAAGGCGAAGGCAGUGUCCUGGCUGGUACCUGACGCUCAGGUGCGAAAGCUAGGGGAGCGAACGGGAUUAGAUACCCCGGUAGUCCUAGCCGUAAACGAUGACCACUAGGUGUGCGGGGUAUCGACCCCCUGCGUGCCGCAGCCAACGCAAUAAGUGGUCCGCCUGGGGAGUACGGUCGCAAGAUUAAAACUCAAAGGAAUUGACGGGGACCCGCACAAGCAGCGGAGCGUGUGGUUUAAUUCGAAGCAACGCGAAGAACCUUACCAGGGCUUGACAUGCCGCUGCACCUCCUGGAGACAGGAGUCCCUUCGGGGCGGCGGCACAGGUGCUGCAUGGCUGUCGUCAGCUCGUGCCGUGAGGUGUUGGGUUAAGUCCCGCAACGAGCGCAACCCCUGUCGUCGGUUGGAUCUCUCCGACGAGACUGCCGCGAUCAACGUGGAGGAAGGUGGGGAUGACGUCAAGUCAGCACGGCCCUUACAUCCUGGGCGACACACACGCUACAAUGGUCGGGACAGAGGGGAGCCAACCCGCGAGGGGGAGCCAAUCCCAGCAAACCCGAUCUCAGUUCGGAUUGGAGGCUGAAACCCGCCUCCAUGAAGGUGGAGU
rnacentral:rRNA from 1 species